AUGUUAUCAAGAAAGGUGGAGGGAAAGACCCGUUGAAACCUUAGCAACCCUUUUCGUGAGGAAAAGAAGGUGCUAAAUUCUACUUAAUUUCAGAUUCAUUUAUCAGAAAUUGGAUAGAUAACCC
rnacentral:ncRNA from 1 species